GCCAUGUAGCUCAGUUGCAUCGCAUUACCAAUCUUGCAAAUUGUAAUAUUCCGAUGUGGAUAGAAUGUAUGCAGAUAGGUGUCGGUUGUUCGUUUGUCAGCGUCCGCCUGGCUACGCAAUCCCACAUUUUGGUCCCCAAAAAUUUUGGUCAUUCAAACUCAGACAAAAAGGAGCUUUUUCGUGUUUUUUUAUUCCCGUUUUAUAAGUACAUAAAAGAUAUAUUAACUUUUAAACACCCUAGAUGACUCUGCGUGGAAUUAAAAAUCAAGUUAUGAGUCAUGACUGAGUCACGAGUGUAACAAUAUUUAUUAAUUGUUGUUAUGCAAUCUAUGUAUGUCGAUUUUUAUUAUCCUUUUUCUUCUUCUCAUGAUAAAGGAAUUAAAUACAGUCUAUUAAAUCAAUUAUAUCUAAGCAAGAGAGAAAGAGAAAUCAAACGAAACGUCAGACAACAAACCACUUUAUGAAGGUGAAGGAGGAAGAAAUAAAAGGAUUUAGCAGUUUUUUGUGAUAAACUUUAGUCAUCAAAUUAAUUACUUAUAAGAAAAUAAGGAUGAUUUGGAUGGAUCUUUUUCACGGAACAUCCGAAUAUAUGGAUCUAAGUCAACUCAUAGUUCCAUUCAACUCCUAUGUGUUGAUGACAUUGGGAUAUCUAUCAUGUCCAGGGAUCUCAUCUCUUUAGAAAAGGUUCUUGCACCUUACUCGAUGGAUAUUAUCUCAUUUAAUGGAAGUAUCAGUCAUCGUGUAGAUGUCCUUUAACGUCCAAAUCUAUUCUAGGGAUCUCAAUCCAGACAGCCAACAACAUUAUAGCCAAGAAAUGCCCCAAACUUCUGCAAUAAUAAUGUCGUGACUUCUGGUCUAACUACAUGUGGCCCUCCUUCAACCUUGAUAUCAACCUCCUGGACUUUGCAGUUUGAUUGUCUUCGAGAAGAAUGUCUGCGCACCUGUCAUCCAAAUUUAGAUUGACUGCGAGCUGCCAAUAUGACAACGUGGUAUGCCAUGGACACGGUCAUCAAUGUCAAAAGCUGUCAAUUUGUUCGGUAGGGUGUUGAGGCUAUUAUUGCUUGUGAAUGAGGAUAUAUUGUAUAAAAAAUAUAGCUAUAUAGACAUGUCACAAAUUGGUUGUGAGUUGUCUUUUAUUGAGUCCAUACAAGUCAAGAUUCUUCAUAAUUUGUUAAUGAUACUGAAAGUUUUGGGUCCCCAUUCUAUAUAUAUCUACAGCUUUAUUACACAAAAGAAUAGAAAUGGAGUUUGGAAAUAUUAUGAACUUCAAGUAUAUUGAAUUUCAUAGCAUUCUAAGUUGUCGAGGAUGUGUGGUGACGUGAAACUGACAUCUUCAUGAAGGACAUGGUUAUCUCUGAUGCUUAGUCCUUCAUAGUGAACAUUAUUUAGAUGAAUUAAAUACAGUCUAUUAAAUCAAUUAUAUCUAAGCAAGAGAGAAAGAGAAAUCAAACGAAACGUCAGACAACAAACCACUUUAUGAAGGUGAAGGAGGAAGAAAUAAAAGGAUUUAGCAGUUUUUUUGUGAUAAACUUUAGUCAUCAAAUUAAUUACUUAUAAGAAAAUAAGGAUGAUUUGGAUGGAUCUUUUUCACGGAACAUCCGAAUAUAUGGAUCUAAGUCAACUCAUAGUUCCAUUCAACUCCUAUGUGUUGAUGACAUUGGGAUAUCUAUCAUGUCCAGGGAUCUCAUCUCUUUAGAAAAGGUUCUUGCACCUUACUCGAUGGAUAUUAUCUCAUUUAAGUAUCAGUCAUUGUGUAGAUGUCCUUCAAUGUCCAAAUCUAUUACGUCAUCAUACAUGGGAUCAAAUACACAUCCGUCCUCUAUAUCUUGUAUGGAAUCGUUGUAUACUUCUAUAAUAACUGAGGAUAUGUAUAAUCAAGAGGAGUAAUAUUGGAAUAAAAUGUAUUGUGAUGAACAAAGAGACUCAUCUGCAUCUUUUCCAUGGAAUCUCCUCCCAAAAUUUAUUCAAAUUCAUCUCCUAAUAUUCUUAGAAAACUCUUUCAUUGAUUUGAGUCCUUAAAUGUCAUUGAUAUGCAUAACCAACAAACAACUCAUAUCUAUGACACUGAUUCCAUUAAUAAGGCAGAAUUAUUUUUGUCAUGCUAGACACUUCAUCCUCGCUUCCGAUUCCAUUAUUUCUUGUGAGUCUCGUCUAUCAUUGAAAAAAAGUAGAAGACUAUCCUGGACUAUGAAUUAAAGGGGGUCCUCUUUUCUAGAAAUGUUUAUCAGUAAAACCGCAAAACAUAUUCAGUUCUCCUAUUACCUACAUAUAAUAUACAUAAAUAAACGUGAUAAAUAUGUUAAUAAAUUAUAAGUUAUCUUAUAACUUUAGUAGAGUUAUAUUGGAAAAUAUGAAUUUUUUUAAUAUAUUUUAAAAGUUA
rnacentral:lncRNA from 1 species